GGCGGGGGGAACAAGAGCGUAUGGUGGAUGCCUUGGCUUCAAACGGCGAUGAAGGACGUGGCGUGCCUGCGAUAAGCGUCGGGGAGGUGGCGAGCAACCUUUGAUCCGGCGAUGUCCGAAUGGGGAAACCCCUUUGCCUGAAAACGGCAUUGAUCUGCCCAAGUUUUUAGACUUUUAAGAAAAAAUUAAGGGGGUUCCCAUGGGAACCCCGUAUCGGUAUCUGAUCAACCUGCUGAAAGAGGAGUUAUCACGCGUUCCAGUACAAAUACAAUUGUGGUCUGGAUCACACGUGAAUCCUCCCCCUGAAUAUACUUCUGAUAGACCGUCGUCGGUCCGAAUGUUUGCGAAACAAUCUUGAAUCCGCUAGAAAGUAACGGACCUAAUUGUGCAUCGAUCUGAUUUUGGAUUGAAGAGUGGUUAUUCCAAUGAUCGUGGUGCUCAAUGACAACUACUCUUUGCUCCAUAUCAUAACUCCUUAAGCUAGGGUGGGGUGGAUCAGUUAAGUAAUUAGUAGCAUGUUUAGUAUUUAGUGUCAAGAGUCUAAAAACUUGGGCAGAGGCGAACCCGCUGAAGUAAAACAUUUCAGUAAGCGGAGGAAAAGAAAAAAAUUGCGAAGCAAUUUUUCAGAUAUCGAUAUAUCGAAAUUUCGAUAUUUGGAAUUUUGCUUCGCUUCAUUCCCUUAGUAGCGGCGAGCGAAAAGGGAAGAGCCCAAACCUGCUUGAAAUAUCGAUAUUUCGAAAUUUCGAGUGGGGGUUGUAAGGUAGCGACUUCGAUUUAAUUCGAGAAAGCGAGAAGUUACAUGGUUAGGAGAACGGUCCUGGAAAGGCCGGCCAAAGAGGGUGAUAGCCCCGUAAACGAAAAUUAAUGUACGCUUUUUGUUGCUAUUCUUGAGUACUGCCCCGUACGGAGACUGGGCAGGAAACCGCCAGGACUAGUCUGGCAAGGCUAAAUACGUUUGAAGACCGAUAGUGAACAAGUACCGUGAGGGAAAGGUGAAAAGCAGCCCGAUGAGGGCGGUGAAAUAGUACCUGAAACCAUAUGCUUACAAGGAGUGGGAGCCCGUGCCUCACUAGCGUUCGGCACGGAAUUUUCAAUUUACAAUUCUCAAUUUUCAAAGAAUGAUCAAGUUUCAAUUCUCAAACGUUUGAAAAUUGAUUGAAAAUUGCAAAAUUGAUAAUUGAAAAUUCCCGUAACGAGCGGUAGCGAGGUACGGGUGACCGCGUGCCUAUUGAAGAAUGAGCCAACGAGUUUUUGGAUUUUACUCGUCUAAGCGGGUGAUUCCGCGAAGGCAAAGGGAAACCGAGUGUUAAUAGCGCGUUUAAGACUUCAGGUUUUAGGUGUCAGAUUUUAGGUUAUGAACAACAAAAAAUCCAACUUGAACUUCAAGUUGGAUGAUAUGGAUUAGUUUGAUGUAAAUAUGGUAAGCAUAUACGUCUUUAUUGCAUCAGAAAGAUCAAAAGAAGAGACGGCAGAGGGAGUUGAGCGAGAAGGAAGAGGAAUUUCGAGGAAAAGCGUAAGUAACAAAAAACCAGCGCCAAAUAGGGAGAGGAAAAAGAGAAGUCCAAGUGGGGAAAAGAACCAAUCAGAGAAAUCGUCAAAUUUCUUGCGUAAUUUUUUCACAGGAUAACCUCCUCAAUAUAAGGCUAAUGUUCACAAACAACUAAUUAGUAUAGUAGACUUUUACUUCAGAAAGUCAAGGUAAGCGUUCAUAAUUUGCAAUCUGGCACCUAUUGCCUGAUGUCUUUAGGUAGAAUUCAAAAGACCCGAAACCAGGUGAGCUUGCCAUGGGCAGGGUGAACUCUGGGUAACACCAGAGGGAGGCCCGAACCGGUGGAUCGUUCAACGUCCUCGGAUGACCUGUGGUAAGGAGUGAAAAGCUAAUCGAACCUGGAAAUAGCUGGUUCUCUGCGAAAUAGUUUUAGGACUAGCCCCGGAUCAUACGAUGCAGGAGGUAGAGCUACUGGAUGGUCUGUAAUUGCCGAAAGGCAGGCAGACCAACCAAACUCCGAAUGCCUGUAGGGUCUCGCACAAAGUAACUUUUCGUGACGAAAUUUCAAAAUUUUGAGCGAGCCGCAUGAAGGAUGAGGAAGGCGCACUUGGAAAAGUGCGACGACGAAUCCUGAAUGCGGCGUAGCCAAAAUUUUGAAAUUGCAGUAGAAAAGGUUAUUUUGUGCGAGACCCAUGUUAUUCCGGGAGUCAGCAGGCGGGGGCUAAGCUCCGUCGUGCAAGAGGGGAAGAGCCCAGACCGUCAACUAAGGUCCCUAAAUCUACGCUAAGUGGGGAAGGAGGUGGAGUUUCUCAAACAGCGAGGAGGUUGGCUUA
rnacentral:rRNA from 1 species